GCUUUGGAGGAUGGCCCCUGGAUGUUUGACAAUGCCUUGGUGGUGAUGAAGGAGUUUAUCCCAAGGAAGAGGAUUGACGAUUAUGGGUUUAAGGAAAUUCCGAUCUGGAUUAGAGUGUACGGAUUGCCCCUGGGUUACAUGGAUGAGGAGACUGAAGAGAUGAUCGGGGACAUGGUGGGGGAGUUUGUGGAAGUGGACACGGGGGCGGAUGGUAGAACGAUCGGAAAAUAUUUGCGGGUGAAGGUGAGACUCCAAAUUGAAAAACCUUUGAUGCGUGGGUUCAAGCUGGAAACAGAACAGGCAGAAAGGGCAGGCGAGGAGGAUACCAAUCAAAGCACGGAGGAGGAGGGGAAGGAGGAGGAACAAUGGUGUCGGUUUGAGUAUGAAUAUCUACCCGACAUAUGCUAUAUCUGUGGAAGGCUAGGCCAUGUCGAUCGCGAAUGCUUGAUCAAACUGAAGAAGGGAGAGAGGGCCCAAUUUGGUCGAUGGUUGAAGGCGGACAUGGGAACGAACAGGAGUGGGGGAAGGAGGGAGCACGGAGGAGCUCGUCUCGUGGUAAUAGCGGUAGCAGGGCCUACGGCUUUUGGAGGCAAUCCGAUCGGUCGGGUAGUGACAGCCUGUCUUGGAUGA
rnacentral:rRNA from 1 species